ACACGUCUACAUUAGAUACCCCCGGUAGUCCCAGCCGUAAACUAUGCGCGUUAGGUGUAUCGGUGACCACGAGUUACCGAGGUGCCGAAGGGAAACCGUGAAACGUGCCGCCUGGGAAGUACGGUCGCAAGGCUGAAACUUAAAGGAAUUGGCGGGGAGCACCACAACGGGUGGAGCCUGCGGUUUAAUUGGACUCAACGCCGGGAAGCUCACCGGAUAAGACAGCGGAAUGAUUGCCGGGCUGAAGACUCUGCAUGACUAGCUG
rnacentral:rRNA from 1 species